ensembl:lncRNA
GUAUGAUUGUGUUUGAUGGUAUGAGGUGGCGUAUGAUUGUGUUUGAUGGUGUGAGGUGGCGUAUGAUUGUGUUUGACGGUGUGUGGUGGUGUUUGAUGGUAUGAGGUGGCGUAUGAUUGUGUUUGAUGGUAUGAGGUGGCGUAUGAUUGUGUUUGAUGGUAUGAGGUGGCGUAUGAUUGUGUUUGAUGGUAUGAGGUGGCGUAUGAUUGUGUUUGAUUGUGUGAGGUGGCGUAUGAUUGUGUUUGAUGGUGUGUGGUGGUGUUUGAUGGUAUGAGGUGGCGUAUGAUUGUGUUUGAUGGUAUGAGGUGGCGUAUGAUUGUGUUUGAUGGUAUGAGGUGGCGUAUGAUUGUGUUUGAUUGUGUGAG